CGGUGAGCAACCUGCCUUUCAGAGGGGGAGUAACAUUUGGAAACAAAUGCUAAUACCGCAUAAGAUUACAGUACCGCAUGAUACAGUGAUCAAAGGAGCAAUCCGCUGAAAGAUGGGCUCGCGUCCGAUUAGAUAGUUGGUGAGGUAACGGCUCACCAAGUCGACGAUCGGUAGCCGGACUGAGAGGUUGAACGGCCACAUUGGGACUGAGACACGGCCCAG
rnacentral:rRNA from 1 species